UAUAUUCUCUAGGAUUUCAGGGGUUUUGUUCCGACAACAUGGCGUGCCGGACUUCCGUGUCGUUGCUGCGCUCCAUCCCUCUUUCCCCUCACGCGUCUCGGGCCAUUAUAUUCUCUAGGGUUUUAGGGGCUUCUUGCUCCGCCGUAGUCCGGUGAGAUCCGUGUUCCGGUGCUUCUCUACUCAGCCCACAGCAUCAUCUUUAAAUGAUCCGUCGCCGAACUGGAGCAAUCGCCCCCCUAAGGAGACUAUACUCCUCGACGGCUACGACUUUGAGCACUGGCUUGUCGUCAUGGAGCCACCCGAUCCCUCCCUCACUCGUGAUGAGAUUAUUGAUGGCUAUAUCAAGACCCUAGCCGAGGUCCUUGGCAGGUUAGUUUUUCUUUCUCGGUCGACUCGGUGAAGCUGGUCGCACCGCGAAGCUAUCUUUGAUAAUCACUCCAGUGUAUUUAUUUAGUGUCGAGAAGAUUAUGUUUUGGUGAUCUCGGCUUUUGUUUCAGUCGCUUUCUCUUUUGUUCAUGCUGUGUUCCCAUCGAUGCAAACUAUCACUUCCUCGUGUUUAUUUUCUUUGAAAUGAAAGAAAAUUUUAUUUAUUUUCUUUUCCCUCUUAAAUUACUUUCUCUCGUCCUAAUUCCUCUUCCAAUUAAACACCUCAUUUACUGUGGGAUAGUGCUGGAGUUAUUUGCCUAUUUGAAGUUAGAAUUUUUAGGUUAGUUAAUAAUAUAUUUGAAGUAGUUGGCAUUCAAAUCUAAAAUUAGCAGCUGUAAGACGCCUUUAUUCUUUAGAGUUACAUCUUAGUGAUUUUUUUAUACAAUGAAAAUUAUAUCAGUUGCUAACCUUGAAAAUUUUCCUUAUAAUCUUUAAUACGUGUGCAAUAAUUUACAUUUUUCUCCGUCAUGCUGUUUUAGAGGAUUCUUUCUGAUGAUAUGUUCAGUUUUCUUUUUGUGCCCUUCACUUUGUAUUUGAAUCAGGCAUUCUCUACUUUGUACCACUUUAUUAAAUUUGUUUCCUGUGUUUCUUUUAAUCCAACAAUAUAAUGGCCGUGUGAGGGGUAUUGGAGAUCAUAUCACUCCAACAAUAUAUUUCAAUUCUGGUAGAAGAUGCAAGCAUGCUUAAGUAAUCACUGAGCAUAAAAGGGAGCUGAUGGAGUCGAGGAAGAAAAUUUUAGAGCAAGAUGCACGUAUACAAAACCUUGAAGUAAUGGUGUAUAAAAAGGGUACCAUGUGCGAUAAUUCGAUUGAUGACAAAGGCAGUUGCUCAGUAAAGUUGCAACCCAUGAUUGAAGAUGGCAUGAAGAACGAUGAUGAUGACCUACAAAUUUUGUGUCAAGCUGAUGUUUUGCAGGGAAAACCAGUUGCAUUGACAUUGGAAUCUAGCACAAAUAUUGUUGCACAUGGUACAAUUGUUUGUGGCAAUGAAUCUAAUAAAAUGCUUCAUGGUGUUCCAUUUCCAAAUAAUUGCAUGCGAGUCUCCAUUGAUGAAGCAGUAGAAAAAUCAGCACCUUUGCCAUAUCCAAUUCCAAGUGAAUUUGAAGUAAUUGGUGAUGCUGUAGGAACCCAUGUGGCUUGGCCAAAACACUUGAUAGUGAACCAAGAUGAGAAGCCUCGAAGGAAGAAGCUUGAACAACCAAAAAAGAAACUUACUUUGUCAACAAGUGCCCCAAGAGCAUUACAUAUGUUAUAUUGUUAUAGUAAGCGUGCUUUAGAUGAUGGCAGAUAUAUAUCAGUGAGUUUUGAUUAUGACGUGUUUGAUGAUGAUUAUGAACUUGUUCUACACCUUGAGGACAUCAUUCCUUUGUAUCAUUUGGAGCCCCUUUCAGGCAAUUGUGUAAUUGCCUACAUAUGGUAUCUUUAUAAAAAACUGCUGAAAGAUAACAAGAAAGAAAAAUUCAGAUUUGUGAAUCCACAUAAAAUCCCAUAUAUGGCAACCAGUGCACAUGACAAAAAAGGUACGUUUGAAAGGCUAAACCAAAGGGCAAGUCAUUUGGCAGGCAGGCUAAGUGGUGCAUCUGUAGAUCAACUUGUUUUGGUGCCAUGUAAUAUCGGUUUCCAUUGGAUUCUCACUGUUAUUGACCCUUACAAUGAAGUUAUUUAUUUGUUGGAUUCUCUAAGGCACCGCAUUCAUGAUGAGGAUUGGAAAUAUAUAGUGGAAAUAUAUUCUUCCAAGCGACACUGAAUCCUACAAAGAGGUUUAUGUAUGCAUUUUCUGAUAGAAGUUAAGUGGACAACAAGAGUUUUGUGGGACACAUUUUAUUAAAGAAGGCAGUGGGAAAAAAAUGAUGGAUUGAUAAUGAUGAACAUGAUCUUGCUUAACUAGAUUAAUUACCAACGACAGAGUGAAUGUAACUGGCCAAGAAGGUAGCCUUCAACCCUCCUGCUAAUGUAUAAACAAUCACUCCAAGAGGGAUGAGAAAGCUCGCAGCAUAGAUAUUCAUGCCAGUGAGUGCGCUGACGACCGCAGAACCACCGAGCAGUCGUAUUCCAGUGGAGUCCUGGAGGGAUAUAUGGAAAAAAGAUAGUUUCUAAGUUCUGUAUGCAGUUGAUGUGUUAAAUGAGAAAUGCUCAAACUACAUGGUAGAGAUGGCAUGGAUAGAAAAUGUGGAUAAAGGACAGUCGAGAUCAGUACACUAAGGAGCGUCUGGAUUCAGUAAUUGAUCAGUACACUAAGCGUAUGGAUUCAGUAACUACUGUACUAUUUUGAGUAAACAGAUUGUUGGCUACUUCAGUAUUCAGUAUUCAGUAAACAGAUUGUUGGCUAAACAGAUUGUAGUUGUUCAAAAUAGAUUUUUUGUGCUCUUUUGUUUUAUAUGUGAAUAUCACUAUAUACUUUGAAACUGAAUUAGUGUAAAUUUUGAUAUUUACUAGCUUUUCAUGUAA